GACGUAGGGGGCAAGCGUUGUCCGGAUUCAUUGGGCGUAAAGAGCUCGUAGGCGGCUUGGCAAGUCGGGUGUGAAAACUCCAGGCUCAACCUGGAGACGCCACCCGAUACUGCCAUGGCUUGAGUCCGGUAGGGGACCACGGAAUUCCUGGUGUAGCGGUGAAAUGCGCAGAUAUCAGGAGGAACACCGGUGGCGAAGGCGGUGGUCUGGGCCGGUACUGACGCUGAGGAGCGAAAGCGUGGGGAGCGAACAGG
rnacentral:rRNA from 1 species